AGUUGUGUUGGUUGUUUGGCUUCAGCUUUAAAAAUGGCUUCUGGACUUUGUGUGAGGGUGCUCUUGCUCUCACUCUUAGCCUUUGGGCCACAUGCUGAGGCUCUGAGCUACAGAAGUGGAGGCUCCAGUGGAGUUGCACCGUACUUUAAGUCACCCAGUGAUUUGCUCGGAGACCAAAAUUCAGGUUUAGCCUCUU